AGCAUUUUUAACCGCUGCUAAAAAAAUAUUAAAAUUUUUAAUAAUUUAUCAGCGAUUUAAAUAAAGGCAGUUUGCCAACCGCUGCCAUACCUUCCAUUCCCCUUUUAUGUCCCUCGCAUGCCCUAGCUCCCGCUCCACUUUCUCCCGCGUCCGUCUCCCAAAUGAUCUGCCAAAUGAUCUUCUCAUAGCCGUUCUCCAAGGGUUUUGGAGAGGAAACUUGUGGUAGUAGGCUGCACCAUUCUGUCUUCUGUGUCGGGAAAUUUGAUUUCAAGCUCUGUAGUUAGCUCCAGUCCCGUCGAAGUCUUCUUUCUUGCAGCCCAACUCUUUGAUCUCAGCUCUCGCCAUGUCCUAUCUCCUGGAAUCCUCAGAUUGGCAAGGAGCAUUUGACUCCGCUCUUCUCGUGAAGCACAAGGUGGAGAAGAAAAAGUAAGUAGAGUGGGAGU